rnacentral:siRNA from 1 species
AGGAUGAGAUAUGUGGAAGGCAUC